AGGGCUCCUCCUCUGUGUAACUCCUCUUUUCCAUCAAUUCCCAAGCGCUCUCCUCUCUGAGAACUGGAGUUUCCAUCCGAGAUUCCUUUUUAGGGGGCUGCCAUAAACUCCCUCUUGGAGCCAGACUUGCAGACAAUUUAUCUGGAAGCUUACUUUAAAUUUAAAGCUAAUGAAAGGCCUGGGAUCCUCAGGUUUACCAAAGUUCUUAAUUAUGCGUCAUAUUUUCUGGUGAAUGGCCACUAGAGAGGAGAUAAAGCAUCCAUUACAGUUUUUGGAACUAAGGAUAAUUAUU